CCUACGGGAGGCAGCAGUGGGGAAUAUUGGACAAUGGGGGCAACCCUGAUCCAGCCAUGCCGCGUGUGUGAAGAAGGCCCUCGGGUUGUAAAGAACUUUCAGUGAGGAAGAACGCCUGGUGGUUAAUACCCAUCAGGAAAGACAUCACUCACAGAAGAAGCACCGGCUAACUCCGUGCCAGCAGCCGCGGUAAUACGGAGGGUGCGAGCGUUAAUCGGAAUUACUGGGCGUAAAGCGCGCGUAGGUGGCUUGAUAAGCCGGUUGUGAAAGCCCCGGGCUCAACCUGGGAACGGCAUCCGGAACUGUCAAGCUAGAGUGCAGGAGAGGAAGGUAGAAUUCCCGGUGUAGCGGUGAAAUGCGUAGAGAUCGGGAGGAAUACCAGUGGCGAAGGCGGCCUUCUGGACUGACACUGACACUGAGGUGCGAAAGCGUGGGUAGCAAACAGGAUUAGAUACCCUAGUAGUC
rnacentral:rRNA from 1 species